UUACCUACGGGGGGCAGCAGUGGGGAAUAUUGGGCAAUGGGCGCAAGCCUGACCCAGCAACGCCGCGUGAAGGAAGAAGGCUUUCGGGUUGUAAACUUCUUUUCUCAGGGACGAAGAAAGUGACGGUACCUGAGGAAUAAGCCACGGCUAACUACGUGCCAGCAGCCGCGGUAAUACGUAGGUGGCAAGCGUUAUCCGGAUUUACUGGGUGUAAAGGGCGUGUAGGCAGGGAAGCAAGUCAGAUGUGAAAUCCCGCGGCUCAACCGCGGAACUGCAUUUGAAACUGUUUUUCUUGAGUACCGGAG
rnacentral:rRNA from 1 species